rnacentral:rRNA from 1 species
GACGAACGCUGGCGGCGUGCUUAACACAUGCAAGUCGAACGGAAAGGCCUGCUUUCCCUUGUGGAUUGCGGGUACUCGAGUGGCGAACGGGUGAGUGACACGUGAGUGAUCUGCCCCCAACUUGGGUAUAAGCCUGGGAAACUGGGUCUAAUUCCCGAUAGGACUGCAGGGUGGUGCCUGUGGUGGAAAACGAUUUUCUAGUGGUUGGGGAUGAGCUCGCGGCCUAUCAGCUUGUUGGUGGGGUAAUGGCCUACCAAGGCGGCGACGGGUAGCCGGCCUGAGAGGGUGGACGGCCACAUUGGGACUGAGAUACGGCCCAGACUCCUACGGGAGGCAGCAGUGGGGAAUAUUGCACAAUGGGCGGAAGCCUGAUGCAGCGACGCCGCGUGGGGGAUGACGGCCUUCGGGUUGUAAACUCCUUUCGACCGCGAGGAAGCCACCUGGUUGGAAGGGUGGUGACGGUAGUGGUAGAAGAAGCACCGGCUAACUACGUG